AAGUCGUAACAAGGUUUCCGUAGGUGAACCUGCGGAAGGAUCAUUAACACGUAUCCAAACGUAAAAAAACCCCCCCCCGUGAACAUUCAAUCCUGCUCUUGUAACCCGCGUAGUUCGCAAUCUCUGGUAAAUCAUAGCCCGGAAAGUAGUUUUGAUUCAGAGACCUCUGGCUACGUGAGAACAUUGGAACAGUUACAAUCGAGCGGUAGUAAGCAGUUAGUGUCUGAAAGUGUCACUGAUUGUGCAAGGAUAGCGCUUCAACGAUUCCUGUAGACCGUACACUCGGGCAGGAGCUAUGCCAAAGGGUCCCCAUGCCCCCUUAUAACCCCACAGUUUAAUGUGAAGCUCAAUGUAAUACAUUGGGUAAAAAAACCGAACAACUGUUAACAAUGGAUAUCUUGGGUCUC
rnacentral:misc_RNA from 1 species